rnacentral:rRNA from 1 species
UACGUAGGCAGCGAGCGUUGUUCGGAGUUACUGGGCGUAAAGGGUGUGUAGGCGGUUGCUUAAGUUUGGUGUGAAAUCUCCCGGCUCAACUGGGAGGGUGCGCCGAAUACUGAGUGACUCGAGUGCGGGAGAGGAGAGUGGAAUUCCUGGUGUAGCGGUGAAAUGCGUAGAUAUCUGGAGGAACACCGGUGGCGAAGGCGGCAUUCUGGACCGAUAUUGACGCUGAGGAGCGAAAGCCAGGGGAGCAAACGGG